rnacentral:rRNA from 1 species
GGUUAAGCGACUAAGCGUACACGGUGGAUGCCCUGGCAGUCAGAGGCGAUGAAGGACGUGCUAAUCUGCGAUAAGCGUCGGUAAGGUGAUAUGAACCGUUAUAACCGGCGAUUUCCGAAUGGGGAAACCCAGUGUGUUUCGACACACUAUCAUUAACUGAAUCCAUAGGUUAAUGAGGCGAACCGGGGGAACUGAAACAUCUAAGUACCCCGAGGAAAAGAAAUCAACCGAGAUUCCCCCAGUAGCGGCGAGCGAACGGGGAGCAGCCCAGAGCCUGAAUCAGUGUGUGUGUUAGUGGAAGCGUCUGGAAAGGCGCGCGAUACAGGGUGACAGCCCCGUACACAAAAAUGCACAUAUUGUGAGCUCGAUGAGUAGGGCGGGACACGUGGUAUCCUGUCUGAAUAUGGGGGGACCAUCCUCCAAGGCUAAAUACUCCUGACUGACCGAUAGUGAACCAGUACCGUGAGGGAAAGGCGAAAAGAACCCCGGCGAGGGGAGUGAAAAAGAACCUGAAACCGUGUACGUACAAGCAGUGGGAGCACGCUUAGGCGUGUGACUGCGUACCUUUUGUAUAAUGGGUCAGCGACUUAUAUUCUGUAGCAAGGUUAACCGAAUAGGGGAGCCGAAGGGAAACCGAGUCUUAACUGGGCGUUAAGUUGCAGGGUAUAGACCCGAAACCCGGUGAUCUAGCCAUGGGCAGGUUGAAGGUUGGGUAACACUAACUGGAGGACCGAACCGACUAAUGUUGAAAAAUUAGCGGAUGACUUGUGGCUGGGGGUGAAAGGCCAAUCAAACCGGGAGAUAGCUGGUUCUCCCCGAAAGCUAUUUAGGUAGCGCCUCGUGAAUUCAUCUCCGGGGGUAGAGCACUGUUUCGGCAAGGGGGUCAUCCCGACUUACCAACCCGAUGCAAACUGCGAAUACCGGAGAAUGUUAUCACGGGAGACACACGGCGGGUGCUAACGUCCGUCGUGAAGAGGGAAACAACCCAGACCGCCAGCUAAGGUCCCAAAGUCAUGGUUAAGUGGGAAACGAUGUGGGAAGGCCCAGACAGCCAGGAUGUUGGCUUAGAAGCAGCCAUCAUUUAAAGAAAGCGUAAUAGCUCACUGGUCGAGUCGGCCUGCGCGGAAGAUGUAACGGGGCUAAACCAUGCACCGAAGCUGCGGCAGCGACGCUUAUGCGUUGUUGGGUAGGGGAGCGUUCUGUAAGCCUGUGAAGGUGUGCUGUGAGGCAUGCUGGAGGUAUCAGAAGUGCGAAUGCUGACAUAAGUAACGAUAAAGCGGGUGAAAAGCCCGCUCGCCGGAAGACCAAGGGUUCCUGUCCAACGUUAAUCGGGGCAGGGUGAGUCGACCCCUAAGGCGAGGCCGAAAGGCGUAGUCGAUGGGAAACAGGUUAAUAUUCCUGUACUUGGUGUUACUGCGAAGGGGGGACGGAGAAGGCUAUGUUGGCCGGGCGACGGUUGUCCCGGUUUAAGCGUGUAGGCUGGUUUUCCAGGCAAAUCCGGAAAAUCAAGGCUGAGGCGUGAUGACGAGGCACUACGGUGCUGAAGCAACAAAUGCCCUGCUUCCAGGAAAAGCCUCUAAGCAUCAGGUAACAUCAAAUCGUACCCCAAACCGACACAGGUGGUCAGGUAGAGAAUACCAAGGCGCUUGAGAGAACUCGGGUGAAGGAACUAGGCAAAAUGGUGCCGUAACUUCGGGAGAAGGCACGCUGAUAUGUAGGUGAAG